CGCUCCGGUGGCCUAGUGGUUAGAGCGACCUCCUCGGAUGCGGGAGGUCGUGGGUUCGAUCCCUGGUCGAGUUA